CUGCUUUGGAUGCAGCAGCCCUGCUCUUGUCAGGAGAGAUAGCAUCUGCACUCCCGAAGCUGAGCACCCUCGCACUGCCUCAUCAGCUGCGUAAGUAGAGGCCUCAGCUUUGCAGAGUGAUUUUGGCACAGUGUGUUUAUAUUGUGAGGCUUAGAAAGCCACUGACGUUUCAAAUCCUCUGGGGCUUUGUUGCUCUGCUGCUCCCCCGCCAUCGCUCAGGGGCAGUGUGUCAUCUGCUCAUUAUUCCCUGCACUUGUUAGCCUGGCCCUCUGUGAUAUGGAGAGGGAGGGACCGCCCCCAGCAGCUGCGUGGAGUCCGGUGUGAUCCAACCUGUUGGCCUUAUCAUCUCACCUGGUUUUCAUUUCCAGUAUGUGCUGUUUGUUUAUAGACUGGGAGGGUGUGGAAAUGACUUUUCUUUCCACAAGUACUGAGAGUCCCAGCUGUGUGGACAUGAGUGCCUUGUGUGCAGAGAGAACUUAGUUUUCAUCUCCUAAUGCUGGAACACAACUGAGUUUUUGCUAAGAUUAGAGGAAUGAUGGGAUUGACAGUCCCAGACUUUGUUAGACGGUGCUGCUCAAGGGGCUGGGUUUGAAUACCACAUCUUAUGGUUGUCCGGCUAACAGGCAUCUGAAUGGGUGUGAGUAGGUGAGACAUGAAGUGAAAACAAAAGACCUCACCCAUCCACGAGUGCAAGGUGUUUCCUGACAUUCCAGCAUGCAGUUCACUCCUGGGAUGGGGAAGCUUCAGGUUUUGAAGAACGUCUGUUGAAACAGUAAAGAUGGAGUUUCACCAUGCUGGUCAGUCUGAUCUCGAACUCCUGACUUCAGGCUGCACAGGAGACAUGGUGCUAGUAUCUGCUCAACUUCUGAAGAGGCCUCAGGAAACUUACAAUCACAGCAGAAGGUGAAGGAGCAAGAGAGAGUGGGAGGUGCCACCUGCUUUUAAAUGACCAGAUCUCAUUAGAACUCACUACCAUGAGGGCAGCACCCAGAUGGUGGUACUAACUCAUUCAUGAAAAAUCUGAUCCCAUGAUCCAGUCACCU
rnacentral:lncRNA from 13 species